rnacentral:rRNA from 1 species
CCUACGGUGGGCAGCAGUGAGGAAUAUUGGUCAAUGGUCGGGAGACUGAACCAGCCAAACCGCGUGAGGGCUGAAGGUACAGAGUAUCGUAAACCUCUUUUGUCAGGGAACAAAGGCGGGGACGUGUCCCCGGAUGAGUGUACCUGAAGAAAAAGCACCGGCUAACUCCGUGCAAGCAGCCGCGGUAAUACGGAGGAUGAGAGCUUUGUCCGGAUUUAUUGGGGUUAACGGGUGCGCAGGCGGUCUGUUAAGUCAGCGGGAAAAGCCCGGGGGCUCAACCCCGGCCCGCCGUUGAAACUGGCAGUCGCGAGUUGGAGAGAAGUAUGCGGAAUGCGCGGUGUAGCGGUGAAAUGCAUAGAUAUCGCGCAGAACUCCGAUUGCGAAGGCAGCAUGCCGGCUCCACACUGACGCUGAGGCACGAAAGCGUGGGUAUCGAACAGGAUUAGAUACCCGGGUAGUC